CAGAUGACUGCAACCAAGAUGGAGCAGAAAUUGGAUGGUUUUGCAUGGCUAAACUUGCCCUGAGCUGAGCUUUCAGAGAGUUCAAACCACUCCAGGUGAUCCUCAAAUGGAAGAGCUCCACAAGUCUACCCACCUGAAAAGCAGAAAUAAAAGAUUGGCAACAUCCAGGCUACAUAAAUACUCCAUGAAAAUGCAGACUCGUGCCACGAGUCCAAAGGAUCCAGGAUCCAGUUUUCCUGUGGGUUACCCUCCCUGGAAUUACACAACAACAGCAGCAUCAAUGGAAAUUCAUAUUCCAGGGCAGUAAACAGAACAACACCCAAAUGAUGACGAGAUUGAGCUGCACAGAUGAUCUUCAGCAUUUGUCAUCAAAGAGACACUGAGCUGCUUGUCCCCAGAGGGCUGCUCAUGGAUGGCUUUCCUUGCAGCAGGACAGCACAGCAGGCCUUGACCUGUGCCACCACCCUGGCUGAGAUAAGCCCCUGCCAGAUCUUUCAUCCUUGUCCCACUGACAGAAGGUCCCUGGGGAUGCCCUGCUGGAAUAUCAAAGCACUGAUGGCAUGCUACACUCAUCCUCCCACCGUAAGCCUCCCCAGCACCACGAUUGUGACAUCUUAUAGAAACCAGCAUUUUCUGUGGCAUCAAAAUGGAUCUGUGGCUGGGUUUCUAAACCAGCAAUAUAUGCUGGAGUGCUGUAAAUAGGAUGCAGCCUGGUGAAAGAGGGAAAUCAUCAGUCUUCAUGCUGCCCUUGGCCAAGAAAGCUCCCUCACUCUAAAAAAAACACCCUAAAAAUAAUGAAAACUCACAGUCCUUUAUUUCAGAGCAGUCAGAUUAUGUAAUGUUAGUACACACAUCUCAAGCAGAGACACAUUGCCCUUUCCCUUUGCAUUAGAUAAACAACAGCUUUCCUUUUUCCUUUCUUUCUGAUGGAAAUCACAACUGUGGACCCAGCUGUGUUACUCAGAGCCUGAGCUGCUAACAGCCUUCACAAUCCUGUUCAUUAGGAAGCAACCAAACAAACUUGACAGGACUGCCAUGUACCCAGACACUUUUACUAAAUUCUGUUUAUGUUAUUUUUCAAGUAGAUUUGGCAUUCACAAGGCUGCACCACUGGUUGAGAUGAAGGCAACAAAAGCUCUUGCUAUUGACAGGAAAGGGACAGAAGAGGUCCUUUAAGCAUCCUUGACAGCUCUCUGCUGCUCUUGUGGCUCUAGAGCCAAAAGUGCACUCAGGUCUCACAUGCAGGCAUGUAAGUUCUGCAGAAAACACCAAAAACACCCCCAGAAUAUUGGCUAGUCCCAAGAAAGUGACUGGGAAGGUCAAUCCCGUUGACUCACUCCCCAAAAAAAAGGUUGACAGCCUUGUGGUGGUGACUGCCAUCACCUCCAACCUGGACUCAAUUAAUUUGAACACUUCUUCCUGCAGUGGGAAUUUUACCAGUGGCUUUAGUGGUCCAACCUUUAUAGGGAAAAAAAAAAGACAGCCAGAAGCCUUACAGCCACCCAGCUUAAAUCCUGUAUCAACAGCAAACACAGGGGGUUCUCUUUGGUUUCCUCUCUGCAACUGGACCUACCACAGUGGCUCGUGACAGCCAUGUGCCACAUCUCAUCUCUGGGUUAUCCUCCACAAAGCCACUGGGACUUCAUCCAGAGAAAUUCUGCACAGUGUGGUGAGUGGCAGCAGUAGCAUUCUGUAAAAUGUUUCAUUUCACACAAUUAAAUUCUUAGUGAUUAUGUGAGAGAAUUCCCAUUUGUCUACUGUGCAGUAAAGCUAAUUCAUUGCCCCUGACAAUAUUGCAUUUUCAAGCUGGAACUCUCCCUUUUUUAAAGAAAAGCUUUCUGAUCAACCAGGCCCGUGGUGAAGCAGCCCUUAUUGUUCUUUGGAUGGGAGAAACUUUGUGCCACAUGCAGAAAAAACCAUGAUCAUUAACCCUAAAUCCUUCACAGCUCACCAGUCCUGCAAACAGCACCCCAAUUCCAACAAGGAAGGAAAAUAUCAAUGCAGAAAUUAUUGGUCACCAGGCAGCAUAUUGUGGCUGGAAUUUUCCAGCGAGCUCAGUGCCUUUAGCAGUGGCCAAACAUUUGAAAGAAGCUCUUCAUAGUCCAAAAUAAAUGUCUACAUUUUCAGAAGACAGGCAGUGAUUAGGCACUGUCUGGGAAGAGAUUCCAUUUUUUUUAAUCACUUCCAAGUUUUAUUUUUGCACAUGGAUUUUGUCCUUGGGUCUGGCUGAUCUGGACGAGGCACGUGGUGCUCUGUGUCUCAGAAGGGUCAGCCAAGCAUGGGCGCUGCUGUCAGCUGGAUGCAUUGCUCAGUGGCACUGGAAAUUUGGAAACUUCUGCCCCUGGGAGCAGCUUCAGAGUGGUCUGGCCAUAUCCUCCACCUCUGGGCUGGUCCAAGAGUAAUGCAGAGUUGGUGUAACCUUAAAUCAGGAAGACUCACCAGCUUUGCAUUCUUGAGCAUAAGAGAAGAGGCCUGGCGAAUGCUCCCCCUGGAAAAUCACACACAGAUCAGAUCAUGUUGCCUACUGCAGUGCAAGAGAAAUGAGGAAUCAAAGACACUGGAGAUUCUACUGUUCUUUUUAAGCCCUCUUCCAGCAAACACGGUGCCCAUAUUUUACAGGGCUACAACACAAUAAUCUGCCACCACUGCUUUAACGACCAAGCAGUUGCAGAGUUGAUCUAUAAACUGAUGUUGCCAUUUAAUGUGGUUUCCAGUGAACUGUAAAAUUUAUGGCUGUAACUAACACCCCCCCUGCCCCUCUGUCUUUUAUGUUCUCCUCAAAAAACAAGCUGCUCCAUAGCUCCAAAAGGCAACAUGCAGAAAACCAGUGUGUAACCUGAAGUGAGCUAAUUAGGAUCACAUUCACAUACCAUGGAUCUGCAGCCUUCUGGUCAAUUAAGCAAAGAUUAAUGUCUGACACUGGGUGGAUGACUACCACAGAAAGGCAGGCCCAGAAAUACUCAGAUACACUGCUGUUGCACAACCUGAACAGUGGCAAAGCUGCUGUGCAGAGCUGAGACCCUCUGUGAUGUUUCCUCCAUGGUUUUCCCACUCUUUUCCAUGCAAACCUCUCAGCCUCACCACUAUUUCCAUCCUGUCACGGUGCCACUGGUGCCGCUUCUUUGGCAGCUUCCUGGCAUGGGUGUCCCUGCCCUAAGCCCUACUGAUAAGAGCAGCUGUAAGGUGAAUUCCACCUCUGCUCAGCUGUCUGGCCCUACUCCCAUCCUCUUUGUGGUGACUGAUGGGAUUUAAAUGGGCUUCACAUUGAGUGCACCACAUGGGGAGAGCCUGGUCCCAAACGAACGUAAUGCUGGAAAAUCUCCUUGGGCGCUCACGAGUGCUGGGGCUGAUUUAGGCUCACUGUUGUGAAGGCUUGGAAUCAAAACUGAGGGCCUGAUCCCAAAGCCCAUUAGCCUUUGGAAAGGCUUCCUAUGAUGUCAGUGGAUUUUGGAAUACACUUUUGAUGCCUUCUGGUAAGGGCUGAUGGAAAAAAAUCUUCAAGCUUAAUUGGAGUGUCGGGGGGGGAACUGGUGAGGAAAAUGGUUUUAGAUGAACAGCUCUGUUGAGGGGGAUGCAUGUCCUUG